GGCUUAGAGUUUGAUCAUGGCUCAGGACGAACGCUGGCGGCGCGCCUAACACAUGCAAGUCGAACGGGGUUGAGAGGAGCUUGCUUUUCUUGACUUAGUGGCGAACGGGUGAGUAACGCGUGAGGAACCUGCCUCAAAGAGGGGGACAACAGUUGGAAACGACUGCUAAUACCGCAUAAGCCCACGGUUCUGCAUGGAACUGAGGGAAAAGGAGCAAUCCGCUUUGAGAUGGCCUCGCGUCCGAUUAGCUAGUUGGUGAGGUAACGGCCCACCAAGGCGACGAUCGGUAGCCGGACUGAGAGGUUGAACGGCCACAUUGGGACUGAGACACGGCCCAGACUCCUACGGGAGGCAGCAGUGGGGAAUAUUGCACAAUGGGGGAAACCCUGAUGCAGCGACGCCGCGUGGAGGAAGAAGGUCUUCGGAUUGUAAACUCCUGUUGUUGGGGAAAAAGAGGAUGGUACCCAACAAGGAAGUGACGGCUAACUACGUGCCAGCAGCCGCGGUAAAACGUAGGUCACAAGCGUUGUCCGGAAUUACUGGGUGUAAAGGGAGCGCAGGCGGGUAUGCAAGUUGGGAGUGAAAUACAUGGGCUCAACCCACGAACUGCUCUCAAAACUGUGUAUCUUGAGUAGUGCACAGGUAGGCGGAAUUCCCGGUGUAGCGGUGGAAUGCGUAGAUAUCGGGAGGAACACCAGUGGCGAAGGCGGCCUACUGGGCACCAACUGACGCUGAGGCUCGAAAGUGUGGGUAGCAAACAGGAUUAGAUACCCUGGUAGUCCACACCGUAAACGAUGAUUACUAGGUGUUGGAGGAUAGACCCCUUCAGUGCCGCAGUUAACACAAUAAGUAAUCCACCUGGGGAGUACGACCGCA
rnacentral:rRNA from 1 species